rnacentral:rRNA from 1 species
ACAGAGGGUGCAAGCGUUGUCCGGAAUCACUGGGCGUAAAGGGCGCGUAGGCGGUCGUGUGCGUCGGAGGUGAAAUCCCCAGGCUUAACCUGGGAACUGCCUCCGAUACGGCAUGGCUUGAGUCCGGGAGAGGGGAGCAGAAUUCCCAGUGUAGCGGUGAAAUGCGUAGAUAUUGGGAGGAAUACCAGUGGCGAAGGCGGCUCCCUGGACCGGUACUGACGCUGAGGCGCGAAAGCGUGGGUAGCAAACAGGA